GACGCGGUGGCCUAAUGGUUAACGCGUUGGACUCCGUAUCAAGCGGUCCAGGUUCGAUUGCUGCCGUGGUCACUGUGUCG
rnacentral:tRNA from 1 species